rnacentral:rRNA from 1 species
GUCGAACGGGGGUAGCAAUACCCUAGUGGCGAACGGGUGAGUAACACAUAAGCAAUCUGCCCUUCGAACAGGGGGAUAACAGCGGGAAACUGCUGCUAAUACCGCAUAAGACCACGGUACCGCAUGGUACAGGGGUAAAAACGAAUCAGUGGUGAAGGAUGAGCUUAUGUCCCAUUAGCUAGUUGGUGAGAUAACAGCCCACCAAGGCGACGAUGGGUAGCCGACCUGAGAGGGUGAUCGGCCACACUGGAACUGAGACACGGUCCAGACUCCUACGGGAGGCAGCAGUGGGGAAUAUUGGGCAAUGGAGGAAACUCCUUACCCAGCAAUGCCGCGUGAGUGAAGAAGGUCUUCGGAUUGUAAAGCUCUUUGAUUGGGGACGAAGAAAGUGACGGUACCCAAAGAACAAGCCCCGGCUAACUACGUGCCAGCAGCAGC